rnacentral:rRNA from 1 species
CAGCAAGAAACAGGAGGUGUGCGAAAUAAUUUCGUCCAUGCCUUCAGCAGUUUCAGUUUUAUGGAACAUGAACGGGUGAAUGGGCAUGUGGGGGAGGAUGUCAGUGCUCAACAGAUUACGGAGGCUCGUCCUGCUAACAAAGGCAAUAAUGGAGAUGGUUUACAGGCUUCUCUUCUUUCUCAGGCGGCAACUGCGGAAGGAUAUGAUACAAAUGCACCGUUUACAUUUGAAGGGAGUUCUUCAUAUUUAAGAAGGCAUGGCACAACAGGACUUGUGCAAGAUUUUAUGGCUUCUUUAGAUGAUCAUGAGAUUGAAGAAGAGGAGGAAGAAGAACAAAUCCAUGAAGCAGCAUUGUUAUCACAUCGGCCUGCACUUUAUAAUGUGGAAAGCACAAGGAGACAUCUAUACAGCCAACAAAUUGUCCAACUAUCUGAAACAGCUAAUAUAAGGCCUAAGUGGAGGGUAGUUCUUGAGCCAGGAUUUAGGCAUGCUCUGUGUCAUGGCUGUGAGAUGAAUUGGGAAGCGUAGUCUGCAGGAAUCAAUGGCCUUCUCCGUUACACUCCUCGGAUUCUUGAACAAGUUGGAGUAGUUAAUUUGUUUUCAGACAUUGGGCUUGGCUCUCAUUCAACCGCAAUCCUCCUAAGUACCCUUAAUGCUUUGCUCAUGCUACCUUGUAUAACUGCUUCAAUGAUGCUGAUGGAUAUUUGCGGACGAAGGUCUCUUCUCCUUGUAACUACCCCUAUCCUAAUGUUGUCCCUGAGUACAAUAUGUUUGUCCUCCAUAGUGAAUAUGGGAUCUUUGGCGCACAAAAUCCUCUUCCACCUCACAUUAACCAUUUGCCUCUGCUCUUAUGUUAUUGGUUUGGGCCCGAUACCAAAUAUUCUCUGCUCUGAGAUGUUUCCCACAAGGGCCCGUGCAACCUGUGCAAGUUUUUGUUCACUUUCCUUCUUGUUCGGGAAACUGCUUUCAACAUACUGUUUCCCAGUGAUGCUGAGUACCAUUGGGCUCACAGGAGCAUGUGGUGUCUAUGCAUUCAUGUGCUUCAUUGUUCUUCUGUUCGUCUACUUAAGAGUGCCGGAGACGAAAGGUCUUCCCUUGGAGCUCAUCGCCGAGAUCUUCAAAAUUUCAAGGAAGGAAUGUCUAUAA